CAAAGUCCUGUCUGUCUUCUGAAUAGGAAUCUGAAUAGUCCGACCACUGACCAAACUCCAUUUGUUAACCACUGCCUAUUUGUACCUUCCACUGAAUGACUCUUUUUCAUUCCACACGUUCGAUCCCAAUGGAAAGAGCUAGUGGGGGAAAAAAACAAAUAACUGGAGGCAACAACUGGGGGGAAACCAAGAGUCAAUGAUAUUUGGAAUAUACUAUAUGGGAACAUAUUAUUUUUAGGAGAGCUUCAGCGCAGGGAAAAUAUUGCAGUCGUGUCAAAAACACAGACACAAAUGGCGAUUAUAUUUUCUACAUUGAAUGGACCUGCCUGCCAAAAGAGAAACCCUCUGCAGGUUUCAAAUAUGGAAGUUAGCGCCCGCCUGCGUUAUAGUGAGAAAGGUGGUGUUGAUGCAAGCGGAGGAACACUGGUUUCUGUUACACAAACCUCCAUAUUUUGAUGGACAGGCAGAGCAUGGCUUGCCACUCUUAUAGGGAGCUUCUCCAACCCAGUUCCCUCUGGAAGAACAAUAAAACAUGGUUAACUACU